CUUCCUUUUCUGGCUUACUUAGGUCAAACUUUUGGUGCAGUGCGGGCCUGGCGAAGUCUCCGCAACCGAAGCAGCAGCAGGAAGCCAGGAAGAAGAGUAGCAGGGUUUCUGGAGUCGCUCUGGAGGACGACGUGGUGGAGGACCUGAUCCUGAGCUCGGACGAUGACGAGGCUCCCGACGGCGACUUGUUAUCCGAAGAUGAGGAUCAUGAGCCUGACGAUCCUGACAUGGAAGCGCCCAACAAGAAGAGGAAGAAGCCAUCUGCUCCCACUCCAUCCAGGGGCAAGGGCGGACCCCGUUCCAAGAGGAUGAAGAGAAGGAAAAGUCAAAGGGCGUGAGGCACACCCACUUGAGGAAGAAAGUCAAACCCCAUGGUAUAAUGCCCCAGUUGAAACGAAGAAGCUGCAUAAUCCCAAUUUUGUAGGAUAUAUAUAUCUAUAUAUAUCAAUUUCUUCUCCCUUCAGUCCCAUUUCGGCCCUCUGAAUUGCGCUUUUUUUGAGGUGGGCAGCUCACCGCCGUCAAUCUGCCGUCGCCAAUGGGAGGAGAGGGCCUCCCAGUCUGUUCUUCCCGUCUUAUCCCCUGCACCGCUGGGGAAGGUUUCCACAUGCCGAUGAGGACGGCGUCAUCUUCUUUCCUAGUCAUGUGGAGCAACUCGCGCCUCUCGUUUGCCGGCUUCUACCCUCGGCCCUUAUCCGCCCCGCCGAAUCUCGCCCACUCCUUUGUUAAAUACUUCUCUCCUCCUCUCCCCCUUCACCAACUCUCAGACCCGCCGCCGCCGCCGCCGCCGCCGCCAACCCCCGGCAGGCGCUAGAGACAGGCGACUGUAAUUGGAAGAGGGAGGAGUUUAAUCUGGUGGGUAGAGCGAGAGAGAGAGAGAAAAAUGCAGACGGCGACAGCUGCACCUACGGCGGUGGGUUCCUCCCUCCUCGUGCAGCGCCGCCAUGGCGCGCCGCCGCCGUUGGCUCCGGCAAGGGCGCUCUGCAGGGGGGCGACGUGGACGAGGAGGCCCGCCACGGGGAGGGUCUUCUGCGAGGCGGCGGUGUCCACCGCCGACGUCUCCUCCUCCGGCGCCACAGCGGCGGCGCCGGAGGGUCUCGACGGCGACGCGCUGGCGGCGUCCAAGGUCGGUUCCAGGGUCCGUGUGAAGGCGCCCUUGAAGGUGUACCACAUCCCGAAGGUCCCCGAGCUCGAGCUCGAAGGUAUGGAAGGGGUGAUCAAGCAGUACGUGGGGUUGUGGAAGGGCAAGUCCAUCUCCGCCAAUCUUCCCUUCAAGGUCGAGUUCGUGCUCCCCGAUGGGGUCGAGGGCCGACCGGGCCCCCUCAAGUUCGUCGCCCAUCUCAGGGAGGACGAGUUCGAGUACCUUUCCUAGGGCCGAGCGGCCACCGGAGAAGGAGCGAGCUCUUCUUCUGCACCCAUGGCGCAGAGAGGGAGCUGCGACGGUGGUUCUCUCCGUUGGUCUCCUUCUCUUUUUGCUGGGCGUUUCCGUGGCCAAUGUAAAAGCAUCCCCUCUGUAAAAUACGUAUAAUUUCACGUCAAACAUGGAAAUUUGGAAGCGAGAUGGAUGUAAUGGUCACGCCUGAAUCGACGAACUCAAUCGCCCUCCUCCGUUUCUUCUUCUUCUUCAUCAUCAUCCUCUUGUGUGAUGGACAGCGACUAGAACAGGAACCAGAGCGUGACGAUUCUCAUCCAAAUUGCACAGAUUGUAUGCUUCAUCGUCGAUCCGGGCUCUUUUCUUUUCUCCCUUUUUUCUUGGGGGGAAUCCCGAAGCUUGUUCAAGAUCUCAGUGGCGUGACGAAUUCACCGUGAGAGGACCGAAUCGUUCGUCUUGAGUUCGCCGCGCGAGGCGCGAAAAUUUGAGGGCUAGAAGGGGGGAAAUCUCUGAUCGAAAGCCAUCAUCGUCUGGGAAGGAGAGGGGAGCCAUCGGCGGAGGGGAAGGUGGAGAAGGGAGAUGAAGUUCAAAGCAUUCCUCACUCACGACGGCGUCAACCUCCUCGACAAGCGUAAGCCCUCCCCAGCUCCUCCCUUCCUGCGUCGUUCUCCCCUCCGCUCUGGGAUCUACGCGCCUGAUGCGACUGCCGGAGGACCAGGUUUCCUGCCGGCGCUGGACAAGGUGGGAAGGAUCUGCCAUGUGUACCUGACGCGAGAUCACGCCAUGUUCCUCCACAACCUCCUCAAUGGCGAUGGCGUGCAGUGCGUGGCCCAGUUCGACAAGGACCUCCUCUUCCUCGACUACCGCAUCUCCAGCAAGAACGAAGACCGCAUCGCCUUCUCCCUCGACCUCGCCCUCCUCCACCGCGCCCUCCGCAGCGCCCUCUCCAUACUCCAGAGACAGGGGGGCUGUGAUCCCCGGGACGACGGCGGCUCUCCUCUCCAGAUCCAGAUCAAGCUUCUGAAGAAGACCCCUGCCGGUUCCCAGCAGCCAACCCCCUUCCUCUCCUUCGAGACCAAGGUCGCUCCCUCAUCCUGCCUGCGUUGUUCUCUUCCGAUUCUCAUCGACAGCAACUGUGAUUUCUCUCAUGCGAACUUUGCCGAACAAUUCAUGGGCUAUCUUAGGAUUUCAUCAACAAUCGGAAAAGAAGUCUAUUUUCUGCAUGUACCUCACCUUGCUAUUGAAAAUUUGGUGAAAGUCAACGGAUGCCCAGUUCUUUCCCAUCUUAGAAUUCCAUCGACAGCAGCAGGGCUGACGAAUUCUUCGCAGGGCCACAAGUCGGCGGUCAUACACGACGUUCCCAUAUCCAGACCCCUCUCCAGAGAUGAUGUUACGGAGCUCCAGGCUGCUCUCGACAUGGCCCAGCAGCUUCCCCAGGUACACCCUCGUUCCUCAGCUCACUGCCCUGGUUCCAGAAGCUAUUCGAUCGAGUUCUUUGCCAAUACUCCGUGCGCAGACUCUGGUUCAGGUUCCCGACCUAGGCCAGCUUCAGACCCUGGUGGAGCGUCUCAAGAACGUCGGCGACUUGCUGAGCGUCUCCAUCACCCAGUACGGGGACCUCCACCUGCAGGUUUCCACUGGUUUGGUCACGAUGGGUUCAGAGUUCCGUAGGCUUCGAGUGCUAGGAGACCAAGGUAACUGUUCAAGAAAUGGCGUCUCACUCCAUCUUCCCCUGGCUGUCGUCUGGCUCACCUGUCCUUCUUGCUCUCAGCCGAUGCUCCUCCAGGAAAUCAAAAUCUGACCGCAGCAUCACGAACAAGAUUGGCAAUUGAACGUGGGGAAGCUCAGUCUGUGGUCUGUGCUCCGCCUUUUUCUCCCUCUGCCAUUCUUGCAUCGCCAUUAUGUGACCAGCAUGUGCUUGCCCAGGGCAGCAAGUAAGCAUGAAGCACCUGUCGAAGAGCCUUCAGUGCCACUCUGCAAAGCCCGACUGCGCCUAUUAUGGUAUCAUCUUCACAAAACGCAUGCCACUUCUAAGAUUGCCCACAAUUUGACCUUUUUGACCAAAGUUCUUCAAAAAAAAAAAAUUGGGUCUUUCAGGUAUUGCUCCUCAAGGUGCAUGCUUGGCUGUGAUAUAUCAGUUCUUCGUGCCAGGCACACGACAGAUGGAUAAAUCAAUCAGCUUACACUGCAGGCUUCCCGUCCUCGAACCAGACUAUGCUUAAUCGGUUGCAGUUCAGCGGUAUGUGGAAUUUAAGUGGGGUUUCUUAGUUUUUACCUGAAUUUGGUCAGGAUGCCCGGCCCAUUCUCCCCUGUUGGUGGACUAAAUAUGACCGGUUUGAAACCCCCAUCUUCUCCAUUUACUGGAGUCAUAAGAAUUCCCAGCCAAGAACAGUAAGAUGCUGACAAACGAAUGUGCGCAGAGUGCAACAUUUUAUAUUUUCAGGUAUUUUAGCGCCCAUAAGAUCAUCAAAAUGGCUGGAUUUAUACUCCUCUCCAAAAUUUUGCAGCUCCGGGGAGCAGUUUCUGAUGUAUGAUCUCUCUCAUACUGAAUGGAUCAUAUAUGUUCGGUGGCCAAGACAGUGUGCAUUGAGUAUAAUGUGGCUUAUAUUUUUUGUCAAAAAAUUCUCUGAGCUCUCUUUGAACGGUUGAAUAAAUAUGCUUGGGAAAAUGUGACGUGGAUGGCAGUGAAAAUCACCCAAAUAGAGGUUGAGACGGAUGCCACUAUUCUGAUUGUGAUUUGCCAAGUUAUUUAGAUAGUUUGAGUUUGUUGCUCGCGCAUUUGAUGAAGUGCGUCCUCAAGGAUGAUCAUAGUGAUAUAAUAUUUUACAUUGCACAUUCAUUCAAAAUAUAGUAUGAGAAGUAACAAAAAAAAAAAGCAAUCUCUUGCCGCGCAUCUUUCCAUCUUUAUUUAUUUUUCUAUUUUAUCAGAUUUAUAUAUAUUAUUUUUAUAAUUAUAACCAGUAAUACAUGAUGCUCUAAAAAUAAUUAAGUUUAUUUGUAAAUAUUAUUUCACAUGGACUCAUACUUUCUCCUAUUUGUCACGGUUGUGAUAAAUAGUUUAAAAAAAUACAAAAAAAAUUAUCUCAUUUAUGGACCUCACUCUCUCUGCAUUAACAACCUUUUCUCAUUUAUCAUUAUCUGCAUUGCCGACUUGAAUUCAAGGAUGCAAAUUAUCAAAUCUUUUUUGACUUCUCUCUAUUUAAAAAUAUGUACUUCUAUUUUAGAUAUCUUUAUAACCCACAUCUUGUUUGACAAUCUAAUCUGGAAAAUCAGGUCUGAAAAAGUAUAUUUGUUGUGCACCGUUUUUUUUUCCCUGAGUCUUUCUUGGGGUGUUGGGUCCCCAUCCUCUUCAUUUUUGUGAAGAUUAUCCUAAUUGACUUGAGAUUGAUCCGCCUAAAUUUAAACUCCGAUGCUUGUUUUCUUAGAUUCAAAACCUUGUGAUGGGCAGCAUUUCUAUAUUAUGAUCACCUAAAAUGGAGGCGCAAGCAGCGGUGAAUUUCAUCUGCUUCCAAGUUACUUAUCUAGACUUAGGGUUCUUUAAGCCACUGCUCCUACAUUCCAUUUCAAAUGACCAAAGAAUCGCCAUUAAACUGAGUUUUUAAUAACCCAUCUUGUCUCCUUCUGGUGUGUGCUUGGAAUUAUCAUGGUUAUUAUUAUUUUGCUCCCUUAUAUCGUCAUUUCUGCUCACAUUUUCCCACUCUUCGAGCGAUUUCUCCUCACAUAAAUGCAAGAAGUUCAUGUUCAGAUCCUUUUUGCAUGACUCUUCUGACCCUUGGCCACAUAUUUGAUCCGAAUCUUGGAAUUUUCCUCAUGCUUGACAGUUCUCAGUUCCCUCUCCUGGCCUUCAUAUAGAAUGGCGCUUGCACCUGUUCUAAUGCUGUUUAAAGUCUCAAACCACCCAGGAGUUGCACGAAUCCUUUUCACGGACUUAAAAACGAGCUCAUCACCUGUCAUUGCAGUUUAUACAUGAUCAUGAUGCCGUUCUAUUGAUCUUUCUGAGAAAGAUGCACCUUGGGCGCCAUUAGUUCCUAAUGAAGAUGGGAUUUCUGAAAAGAAAAAAUUACUGGGUUCUGUGGUGCAGAAAAACCCACAUAAUUUCACAAUAAUAUGAUAUUUGACUUGCUUUCAUCUGAAUAAUUUGCAUGCCCCAGCUUUGACAAUCUUCAGCAAUAGAUUUGAGCAUUUAUGAGGAACCUGGGUUUUUUUUAAUCCAUGCAGCAAAAGGCGCGCACAAUAUCCGGCAUCUUCACAAGUACAGGGGCUAUUUUUAGUCUUAGAUGUAUGAUCAUGGCGUCGAACUGGGUCGAUGCAUCGAAUCAUGCCAUUCUCGGGUGAUUCAUCGCUUAAUAGGGUCCAUGAUGAAAGGAGCCAUUUUUAAUAUGAGGUAGUAGUCUAUCCGGCACAUUUUAGGCAUUAUUGAUGCGACACAGACACACAUCAUUGGCAUAUAUUAUAUAUUUGGAUAUGUAUGUGGAAGGGCCAGAUUCCGGUGAGGGGAAAUUAUCGGAUGGCGACGCCGCGGGCCCACCAGCGGCAGCCAUGGGCGGCGGAGGCCCCGAGCCAAAACCUCUCUUUCCGCCGCGCCGCGGCGGCGCCGUCGCCCCGAGGCGGGCCCACUGUCCUCUUGAAAGGACGACGACGGCGGCGGACUUCCCGUGGAAGCUCGCCUGGCCGGCUGGCGCCCCGUCGCCGUCGUGAGCGCAUUUGCUAUCCGCCGCCGCCUUGUCAUUACUCCGUGCACGGCCGCGGGGAAGAAGAAGAAGACACUGCACGAGACGAAUCACCCAACGGGUUCAACAAAAUCAGGGGAAAAAUCGCACCCCCAUCGCCGGAUCUUCUCAUAAUUUCAACUGUUACAGAUCACGGGGACGGCCCUUUUCACGCAUAAUCGGGAGGCAAUCCUGCGGGCGAUGGCGUUUCGUGGCCCGCAGUCUUCGACGAUCAGACUGUCCGCAGACCCUGAGGCGGUCACGCCGCCAUUGCUCAUGUGGGUGUGAGCAGCCAUGGAGAUCUCGGUUGGUGCUGCGUCCAUUUGAACGCUUUGGUUCCAUCCCACCGACAGAGGAACCCAUCCGGCCAUGAGAGAGAGAGAGAGAGAGAGGAGGAGAGAGGCCUGGGUUCUUGUGAAGUCCACUGAGGGGGGGCGGAGGGGAGAGGGUGAGCGGCGAAUGGGACGGGGCAACCACACCACCGGCCACAAUUCCCGAGUCUAAUUAAGAUUAUUUUUAAAAGUAAACUCGGUUUGUAUUAAAUUUACACCGGUUAAAUAAUACCCAUCUCUAUGAUUGUGGAAGGUCAUCAACCGCCGGCACUGGUCAUUUAUUAUGCUUACUAAGAAAAUUAUUAAGAAAAAAUGUCUCCUCCCUGAAAGUGGCUCUUCCGUCCAAACGCGAACGCGGGAAAAUAAAACACCCUCCUUUCCCCCGUUUGGACAGCAUCAGACGGGGUAGAGAGAGAGAGGAGGGAGAGAGACAGAGAGAGAGAGAGAGAGAGAGAGAGAGAGAGAGAGAGAGAGAGAGAGAGAGAGAGAGAGAGAGAGAGAGAGAGAGAGAGAGAGAGNNNNNNNNNNNNNNNNNNNNNNNNNNNNNNNNNNNNNNNNNNNNNNNNNNNNNNNNNNNNNNNNNNNNNNNNNNNNNNNNNNNNNNNNNNNNNNNNNNNNNNNNNNNNNNNNNNNNNNNNNNNNNNNNNNNNNNNNNNNNNNNNNNNNNNNNNNNNNNNNNNNNNNNNNNNNNNNNNNNNNNNNNNNNNNNNNNNNNNNNNNNNNNNNNNNNNNNNNNNNNNNNNNNNNNNNNNNNNNNNNNNNNNNNNNNNNNNNNNNNNNNNNNNNNNNNNGAAAGAGAAGGCGGGUGGGUUGGAGUUUUUGAACCAGUGAGCUCCUGGUCGUCGUCUCCGCGGCCCUGUUCUUCUCUUUAAGGCUCGGCUCGCUCGAGGGGUUGCCCUGGUUGGGUCUCUGACUUGAAGGGUCUUCUGACUUUUUAGCCCCCGUAGAUUUGUACGUCGGGGUCGGAAUAAUUAAAGGGGAGAUUGGGAGGGAAAUACAGGGGGGGUCUCCUGCUUCUUCCUUGUUCUUGCACGCCGUCUCCCCCCCCCCCCCCCCUCCACCCUUUUCUCCUCUUCCGUGAGAUCAGUCGGUUCCUCUCCGCGGAGGCGUACCCUUCUUCUCCGUUCCUGUGGACUUUUUUCUUUUUCUCUCGUAUUAGUAUAUUUGGAGCGGGUUCUCCAGCGGGCCACGGCUGCGUUGGGAGGUGACCGGUGGGUAGACAAAGACGAGGUGCUUGCCCGGUGGGAGAAGGUGUUGCAGCUGUCAGCGGUGGCGCCCGGCGAAUGGAAGCGAUGAGUCGGCGACGCUGCUCGGAGCCAACAGAUCUGUUCUUGGCUGGUGUUCACGCCUGAGGAGGAGACAAUGAGGCAUUUCGCGACAUUCGGAUCUGUUGCGGUAAGCCGGAGCCUGAUCUAAGAUGAGAGUGCCGGCGUUCCUUUCAGAGGUAGGGUUUUGCAUCGUGAAUGAGAACAAGAAGGUCGAGACAGAGGAUCGCGACGUGACUCAUUGUUGCCCGCCAGCCUCAUGACGACUACCAAGC
rnacentral:lncRNA from 1 species